rfam:Schistosoma mansoni strain Puerto Rico chromosome W, complete genome
CGUUCUGAAUUCAUGCCGAGGUUUCGUCAGACACCAUGCCAUCAGUCCUGAUGAGACUCCCAAAAUGAGUGAACCG